UGUUUCUGUGUAUCAGGACGACCCGACGCUGGAGCGGCACUUUAGGGGUCACAGGGAUGAUGUCACGAGCCUGGACUUCAGUACCAGCAGCAAGCAGAUCGCCUCGGGCUCCAUGGACGCGUGUGUCAUGAUCUGGAACAUGAAGCCUCAGGCGAGGCCUACAGGUUUGUGGGACACAAGGAUGCGGUGACGAGUGUUGAGUUCUCUCCCUCCGGUCAUCUACUGGCCUCAGCCUCCCGAGACAAGACGGUGCGGCUCUGGGUGCCCAGCGUGAAAGGCGAGUCCUCUGUGUUCAGGGCUCAUACAGG